AUUGAACGCUGGCGGCAUGCCUUACACAUGCAAGUCGAACGGCAGCACGGGUGCUUGCACCUGGUGGCGAGUGGCGAACGGGUGAGUAAUACAUCGGAACAUGUCCUGUAGUGGGGGAUAGCCCGGCGAAAGCCGGAUUAAUACCGCAUACGAUCUACGGAUGAAAGCGGGGGGCCUUCGGGCCUCGCGCUAUAGGGUUGGCCGAUGGCUGAUUAGCUAGUUGGUGGGGUAAAGGCCUACCAAGGCGACGAUCAGUAGCUGGUCUGAGAGGACGACCAGCCACACUGGGACUGAGACACGGCCCAGACUCCUACGGGAGGCAGCAGUGGGGAAUUUUGGACAAUGGGCGAAAGCCUGAUCCAGCAAUGCCGCGUGUGUGAAGAAGGCCUUCGGGUUGUAAAGCACUUUUGUCCGGAAAGAAAUCCUUGGCCCUAAUACGGUCGGGGGAUGACGGUACCGGAAGAAGAAACACCGGCGAACUACGU
rnacentral:rRNA from 1 species